AUUGAACGCUGGCGGCAGGCCUAACACAUGCAAGUCGAACGGUAACAGGAAGAAGCUUGCUUCUUUGCUGACGAGUGGCGGACGGGUGAGUAAUGUCUGGGAAACUGCCUGAUGGAGGGGGAUAACUACUGGAAACGGUAGCUAAUACCGCAUAACGUCGCAAGACCAAAGAGGGGGACCUUCGGGCCUCUUGCCAUCGGAUGUGCCCAGAUGGGAUUAGCUAGUAGGUGGGGUAACGGCUCACCUAGGCGACGAUCCCUAGCUGGUCUGAGAGGAUGACCAGCCACACUGGAACUGAGACACGGUCCAGACUCCUACGGGAGGCAGCAGUGGGGAAUAUUGCACAAUGGGCGCAAGCCUGAUGCAGCCAUGCCGCGUGUAUGAAGAAGGCCUUCGGGUUGUAAAGUGCUUUCAGCGGGGAGGAAGGGAGUAAAGUUAAUACCUUGGCUCAUUGACGUUACCCGCAGAAGAAGCACCGGCUAACUCCGUG
rnacentral:rRNA from 1 species